CUUGUUCAACCUAGUCAUGUUCAAUGAUGUAGUUUAGACUUAAAACUGUCCAAACUAUUUUUAACAUAGUAAUAUCAUUUUCGACUUUCUACUUCAUAAAUCAUCCAAUAAGAAUCCAAAAUUCACAUUGUCAUAACCAAAGACACAUAUACAAUAGAUGGGACCACCAGGCUCAAAACGACAAUUCUUGCUAGCCUGCUCGAUCCGCGCCUAACUUCAUGAAUAUUCCAAUAUGCUUUCCAAGCCUCUUCAACAUUUUGUUUGAGAUAUGUUGGUGUCUUUGACGAGCUUCUUCGUCGAGUUUAGAAAGUCUCUAUAUAUAGUCCUAGCCAUCCCGAUCCAUGCCGCGUAAAUCAUAUCUCUAGAGUACACAGAUGAGUCCCAUUAAAAUGCAUUCCGCAUAUUUCACAUGAUGCUAAUUUUUCACAUAACAUUAAUAUUAUAAUAAUGUUAUAAAACUAAUUAAACAAAUGCUUACCACAAACUAAUUGAAAUAAACUUCAAUCAUCAAUAAUCUCUAUAUAGGCCUGGAAAGUAUGCUUUGAUGUAACCACGUUGAAUAGAUUUUAUGAAACCCAAAUAAUCUCUAGUCACAAUCUCCUUAAAGCUUUAAUGUAUUUUGGAGUCGCAUCCAUCCUUGAGUGGCCUGAAUCUCCUAGAUGUGACGUUGUAUCUCCAUCUUCUAUAAUUAAAGACAAACUAUAUUCGUGAGCUACGAAAAAUUGUAAUAGUUGAUUAAGAAUUAUACUCUAUACUUACCGCGUGAUGGGACACAUUAUAUUUAUUCCUUCAAAUGCACGCGUAAAAAUAUACUCCCUCCGUCCGCCAAAAUUAUGUAAAAUUGCUUGGGCACGAGAUUUAAUAAAAUUGGUGAUGAUUUUGAUGUAGUGGAGAAAGGGUCCCACCACUUUAUGAGAUGUGUGGUUGAGAUUGAAUUUUGAGUGGGUUUUUUGUAAAUAAAGAGUGUUAGUAAGGAUAAAAUAAUAAAAAGGGUGGUAGCACCAUUGUCAUAAAUGGCACUACGUGAUCCUCAUCAACCCCAAAUUAUCGUAAUAUUGCAUAACCCCUGAAUUAUCGAAAUAUAUAUCUAAACACAAAGGAAAAUGUCAUUAUCACCCAAAGUGGAGAAGAGUUGGAGAUCGUCAACCAUUUAAUCCUUUCAUCAACUAAGUUGGAGAUCGUCAACCAUUCUAUCAUUGCACAAGACAAUGAAUCACUGGGCAUAAGCAUAGACAUUGGGUUUGCACAUUUCUUUUUUAAUAAUAACGCAAAUCUCUAAACUAUGCAUAACCCAUUAAUCAUAGUAAGAUAAGUAACUUCAUUAGGUUCACACAGUUCCUCAACCACCAACUUCUUCAUUAGUAUUGUUGCCUCGCAGAUCUUUCCAACCAACAAAAGCCCUGUGAGUAGGCUCGUAUACAUUCUUGCAAAACCUGCUUACGAUUGUAAACCCCAAAUCACCUCUUUUCAGUCGACAAAAGCAACCAAUCGCAACACUCAAGGUGUAGAGAUAUAUGGGAGCAUACAUUUGAAGCAUUUGGUCGAACAGAUGAAGGGCAACAGAGUAUUGCUUCAUCUUGACCACAACAAUCAAAAAAUUCGUGAAAUUAAUUACAGAAGGGCGUGGCUUCAUUCUCACCUAUUUUAAAUAGAGGAUACAUUUAAAAUAAGAUCUGGGAUUUGGCAAAAUACUGUCUAAUUUGGGUUGAUAUUAUCAAACAUUAAAUCAAAAAGUAGCAGAGAUGAAUGAUAAAUAUUAAUAAUGUAGAGAAGCAAUGGCAAAAGUAAAUGAAUUAAACGAAGAAAUGGUAAGAAAUUCUUACCCAAAAUAUGGCGGCGCGAUUCGACCUAAUUCUUAGACAACUUUGAGGGUUUCUUGCUAUUUUUGUUUAUGAGCAAAGGCUUUCUUGUCUCUCUCAUAUAUAGAUUCAGAGUUUUGGGUGGAUCUACUACUCCAU
rnacentral:lncRNA from 1 species